AUUAUUAUAGUUUAAAUAAAAAUAUUAAAUUGCAAAUUUAAAGAUUAAUUUUGUGUUAUAAUAAUU
rnacentral:tRNA from 3 species